rnacentral:rRNA from 1 species
AUUGAACGCUGGCGGCAGGCCUAACACAUGCAAGUCGAACGAGUGGCGGACGGGUGAGUAAUGUCUGGGAAACUGCCUGAUGGAGGGGGAUAACUACUGGAAACGGUAGCUAAUACCGCAUACCAUCGGAUGUGCCCAGAUGGGAUUAGCUAGUAGGUGGGGUAAAGGCUCACCUAGGCGACGAUCCCUAGCUGGUCUGAGAGGAUGACCAGCCAAGCUGGAACGGAGACACGGUCCAGACGCGUACGGGAGGCAGCAGUGGGGAAUAUUGAACAAUGGGCGCAAGCCGGAUGGGGCCAUGCCGGGUGUAGGAAGAAGGCCUUCGGGUUGUAAAGUACUUUCAGCGGGGAGAUGUUACCCCCAGAAGAAGCACCGGCUAACUCCGUGCUACCAGCCGCGGAAUAC